UAGAAUUNUAAUGGUGGAACAGACCAAGACUUCCGCAUCAUUGGUCAACAUGAGGUCACAAACCCCCGUUNCGAUAUGAACUNUCAAGGAAGAUAAUGCUGUUAUCCCUACGGUAAUUAAUUCCGGUAAUCAUGGAUCAAAACGUAUGUGAAGGAAGCUUCUAAAGUUCCUCAGUCGCCCCAAUCAAAAUAUUCAACAGCAUCACCUUUUUUAUAGGUUACAGUUAAAUACAUUAAAUUUUUUAAAGCUCGAUAGGGUGUUAGGGUCUUUUAAUAAAAUAUAGGCUUUUUCACCUAAAAAUAAAAUUNUAAUAAAUCAAUAAAGAGACANGNACAUUNUGGUCAAACCAUUCAUCCUACCCUUCAGCUAUAAGGCAAANGGCAAUGGUACCUUUGCCCGGUCAGAGUACAGCGGCCGUUAAAGAA
rnacentral:rRNA from 1 species